CUGAGGGGCGGGGCCUCGAGGGGCUGUGGAUGGAGAGGGUGGCGGAGGCGGCGGGGAGUGGAGCCCGGAGCGCCGGGAAAAGCAUUGGACACUUUUCCACCAUGCUGAUGACAUUUUAAAUAUAUGUGUCAAUCUUCCCGAAUAUUAACUGAAGAAAACCUUAAGAAUUUAUAUUUGAGGACUAAAGUGUGACUGCCAGUUAUCAGGCUUUCAGGAUGAAUCUGGAAAAACUCAGCAAGCCAGAACUCCUAACACUAUUCAGUAUUCUUGAAGGAGAACUUGAAGCAAGAGACCUUGUUAUAGAAGCUUUAAAGGUAUGUUAAAAGAAAA